AGUGAACGCUGGCGGUAGGCCUAACACAUGCAAGUCGAACGGCAGCACAGUAAGAGCUUGCUCUUACGGGUGGCGAGUGGCGGACGGGUGAGGAAUACAUCGGAUUCUACUUUUUCGUGGGGGAUAACGUAGGGAAACUUACGCUAAUACCGCAUACGACCUACGGGUGAAAGCAGGGGAUCUUCGGACCUUGCGCGAUUGAAUGAGCCGAUGUCGGAUUAGCUAGUUGGCGGGGUAAAGGCCCACCAAGGCGACGAUCCGUAGCUGGUCUGAGAGGAUGAUCAGCAACACUGGAACUGAGACACGGUCCAGACUCCUACGGGAGGCAGCAGUGGGGAAUAUUGGACAAUGGGCGAAAGCCUGAUCCAGCAAUACCGCGUGGGUGAAGAAGGCCUUCGGGUUGUAAAGCCCUGUUGUUGGGAAAGAAAAGCAGCAGGUUAAUACGCCGCUGUUCUGACGGUACCCAAAGAAUAAGCACCGGCUAACUUCGUG
rnacentral:rRNA from 1 species